rnacentral:lncRNA from 1 species
UGUUGUUCUUCUUGAGUGCAAACACCAGGUUAGCCAACCACUGAGGAUGAAAAACUUCAAUGAUAAAACCAACCGCCAAGAGUCGGACGACUUCUUCUCCAAUAGAUUUCUGCCUCUCCUCGUUAAAACAACGGAGGAACUGUCCAACAUGCUUCAUGUUAGGAUCAAUAUUAAGGUGAUGCUCAACGAAUUAUCUCAGUACACCUGGCAUGUCAGAAGGUUUCCAACCAAUGAUGUCCCAAUUCUCAUGAAUGAACUCGAUGAGCGAGCUUUCCUAUUUGGGAUCCAUCCCAGUCCCAAUUUGGCGGGUUACGACGGUGCCUGGUGCUGCUAGACACGGUCGACGACUCAGCAUGCCGGCUAUAAUUCUGGCUCGGCAGCAGGGUUGAAUGCACACGGUGCCGGCUAUAAGAAUAAUUGGCAUGCUGAGCCAUCAUAGUAUGAAGAAACCCAAUAGUGCUCCUGGUUCCAACGGCAACUAGCGAAUCACCAACAACUGGGAUUGCAGCCAGGCGGGUUGUGUCUACCACCAGGUUAUCCGCCAGUUUAGAAAAGUGACCUGACGGUGUCAAAAAAGGUUGAGCCUGGCCAAGACGAGGGUUUGGGAUCGACUCUUUCCUCCGGGCCGUCUCUGGCGGGUUAGGUUGAACGGCCGCCCCACUCCCCGACGCACCAAACGUCAAUUGGGGUAUAACUGGCACUCCUGGAGUUCCCAUACCUGUCCCAGGUGUGUCAAGAAAACAUGUAGGCUCAUAAUCCGACGGCAUGCGACUCUGAUAUCACCUUUGGUUAAUUGCCUCCGAAGCAUUCUGGUUAAGACUUAGUCACCAAGCCUCUAUCUGUAAACGCUCCCUUUUUGCACUGAUCUGAGCUUGCAGCGUAGCUAUCCGAUUGUUCUCACUGUUAAGAUCCUCCUGGGCCUUGGUCAUCUGAUCUUGUAGCUUUGCUAUUUCCACAUUACGCUUUGGCUAGUUUUCCAUAGUAACCUCAGUCCCCAGCAAGGUCAUCAGGGUAGCAGUUAACUCAGACAGGGCCUGAGCCGGCGGUACUGUUGAGACGGACGAUCCAGGAUCCGCCCCAUAUGUGUCCACAUUGCUUGCUGCUCCCAUGGAUGUUGAGUUUAGAAAUGGUGUUGUGCCUUCCAUGUAAACGACGGCUUGGUGUAGCGGCUCGUAGUGGUCCGGAAUACUGUCACCAUCGGAACAUCCCCCAAGCCUGCCGUUUUCAAGCCGGGAUUGAUUCCAUAUCUCCGGUUGAGGACUCCCCAUCCGAGUAGAUGAGAGUAUCUCCUUCAGACUCUUAAUUUUCUGGACUUUCCACGCCCCGUGUGAAUCCAGCGAAGAUAUGCUUAGGGCGGCUUGAGAUCGGGCGGGUUGCGCGCACCGAGUCGGCUCGACAAGGUUAGUGCAGAUGGUCGGCUCGGGUUCAGACCCGCUGAUCUAGCCGAUGAAGAUUUGAAUUCCGUCGAAGGGGACCCGAUACCCCUACUAGAUUGAAUCAGCCUCGGGGCCCCAGCCAGCGUCAUCGAUGUAAAGCUUGCCGCAGUGGCUCUUACUCAUCCUGCCAACAACAUAUCCCUCGAGCUCUGGGAAAGUGCCCUUCAAGAACCAAAACCACCAUGUUGAGGCUCCUCGGUGGGCGGCAACUGUCGUGGUUUUGUCAUGGCAGAUGUCCUAGGCUUAGGACUUAAGCAUGAGGCAAUCACAAUGGUGAUUAACUUGUCGGGGUUGAGCGGGACGAGAGACAUGAUUUACCCAGGUUCGGCCCCUCAUGGUGGAUGCAAAAGCCUACUCUUGCUUUUCUACUUAUGUCACAUCCCUAGCUUCUGGUAUGCACUGGGCUAGACCUCAUGUGUGCAUCAUGUUUAAAUUCUGAAAAUUUGAACUGAGGGAAUUUUGGAAGCCUCAAAAUUCUUAAUUAAAAGAAGGGCAAGCACCCUUUAAAUUGCAUUCUGUGAAUCCAAAAUGCCCUAAAAAUAGUCUUGUGAAUUUUGGCAAGAGUUAUAUAUCAAACCAAAAUUCUGGAAUAUUUUUAAGGAAUUAUUUGGUCUCUGAAUUUAAAUCAAUAAUCUAUUUGAAUUUGGGGAUAUAUUCAUAAUAUAUAAUGAAUAUAUUUUCAAAUGCUUUGAAAUGUUUUAUGUACUUUUGGAAUAGUCCAGAGAGGUAACAUAAAAUAUUUCAGAAUGUUCUGGCACUGUAUGAAAUUAUUUUGAAUUUGAAAACAGUGGCAAAAUAAAAUAAAAAGGGAAACAGAACAAAAAAAUAAUAAAUAAAAAGAGAGAAGGAACUACCUGGCGCUCACCUGUGCUGGCCCAGCNNNNNNNNNNNNNNNNNNNNNNNNNNNNNNNNNNNNNNNNNNNNNNNNNNNNNNNNNNNNNNNNNNNNNNNNNNNNNNNNNNNNNNNNNNNNNNNNNNNNNNNNNNNNNNNNNNNNNNNNNNNNNNNNNNNNNNNNNNNNNNNNNNNNNNNNNNNNNNNNNNNNNNNNNNNNNNNNNNNNNNNNNNNNNNNNNNNNNNNNNNNNNNNNNNNNNNNNNNNNNNNNNNNNNNNNNNNNNNNNNNNNNNNNNNNNNNNNNNNNNNNNNNNNUAGGCAGAGGCGAGGCGUGGCGCGCGCCCGAAGAGCUCCGGCCACCUCCUGCUUCGCCGUGGCAGCCUCCCCGACCCCCUCGCGACGCCACGGAGACGCCUCGACCCCCUCGACCGCCUCUCUCUUCCCCUGGACCCCGUUCCCUCCUCUGCUUCCCUCCCGCGCACACCACCGAGCGGAACUCGCCGUCAUCGUCGCCGUACCCAUGGCCACCGCCCACCCCUAGCCUCGCCGACGCCCCAGGAAGCUCCGCCGGUCCUCCCUCUGCCUCCCCACCGAUCCACAGCCCUCCGGAAGCCUUGCAUCGCCGCCAUCGCCGUCGUCUUCUACCUCGGACCCGCCGGCCAUCUUCGUCAAAUUCGCCGGCUCCGGACCGUCUCCGACCUCGCCGAGCGUUCCUCGUCAUCUCCGUGAGUCCCUGCUAUGUUUCCCCUCUCUCCCCGUUGGUUUCCCGUGCAGUAGCCAUGCUAGCCACCGUACCGAGCGCCGCCGUCCGCCAUGGACGCCGGGCAUGGCACUGACGUGCUGUUGCGGCCAGUCCGACGGGCCUAGCGUGCUCCUAGCUGCCCCAGGAGUCCGCAUAGCCCCUCAGCCAGCCCCCUAGCGCUCCGUAACCUCGCUCCGGCCAAACCCGAGCUCCGGCAGCCGCCGCGGCCUCCACUCCGGCCACCCCGCGCCUCCCGCAUGCCUCCUUUGGAUGCGCGCAAGCAAGGGCAACCCUCUGGUGCCCUUGGCUUGGCCCAAAACCGCUCGCAGCGCCACUCCGGCGAGCUCCCGCCGCAGUUUUGGUCGUCGCCGGCCGAACUCCGGCGACUGCCGACGUGGCACGCCUAAUUAGCACUAAUGACCCUGUUAAACUAACCCCGUGGCACUGACAGUGGGCCCCGUAGCGGGUCAAAGCCCGGGUCAACGCGGGAUUAGCCCCUGUGUCACUGACGUGUGGACCCCACACGUCAGGUUUGACCUGGACCGCCCGUUGACCUGCUGAGGUCGGCAUGAGGUCAUGCUGACGCCAUAAUUCAUUUUCUGGAAUUAUUUAAUUCUAAAUAUUCAGGAAAUUCCAGAAAAUGCCUAAAACUUCUAAAAUUCAUAGAAAUUCAACCGUAACUCCAAAUUAAAUAAAUUAUAUAUGAAAAAUUAUCAGAAAAAUUCAAGGAAUCCAUCUGUACCAUUUUCAUGCAUGUUAGAACAACUUAUCACUACUGUUUAGGACAAAUGAAGUAAAUGGCAUUUAAAUAAUCACAUAUGGAGUUUGAAUUUGAACCUAGGAUUCAAACCAACUCCAUUUAACUUGUUGCUAGAUGCAUUAGCUCAAAACACCAGCAUGUUGCCAUGUCAUAGCAUGCAUCAUAUUGUGCAUUGCAUUGAUUGUGUUUCCUUCUGUUUGCCGGUGUUGUUCCCCCUCGAUAGACGUUGUAUCGAUGAUGUGAUCGUUGACACUGAUGGAGACUCAAUGUUAUCUUCAGAAGUGCCAGGCAAGCAAAACCCCCUUGCUCAUUCCGAUACAAUCCCACUCUCUCGCUCCUGCUCUCUUUUACUGCAUUAGGACAACAACGACAUAUUUGUUACUUGCUGCGGUAGCUGAACCCCUUUAUCCUUUGCAUGACCUGUCAUUGCCACAGUAAAUAGAUGAAACCCACUAGCAUGAGUAGGAGUUGUUUGAGCCCUGAUGUGCCUACUCAUUCAUGCUUGUUUGUCAUGCCUGCUACUGCUUAGAGUUGAGUCAGGUCUGAUUCAUCGGGGAUGAAUCAGAGGCGUGUGAACAUGUCCUACUGUGUGUGAGCUAAGUGUGUGAACACGAUUUGGUAAAGGUAGCGGUGAGAGGCCAUGUAGGAGUACAUGGUGGGUUGUCUCAUUGCAGCCGUCCUCAGGAACUGAGUUCUGUGUUUGUGAUCCAUGAUUCAGUUACUACCAUACAUUGGGCCCUGAAAUAUGACCCCGCUCGACUUCUUAAUCACCCUAGUCCUCUGUCCAGGAGUUGCAAGUAGUUUCUGGUGUUUGUAGUAUGCUGGAGGCCGUGGACAGUGCUGACCGUAGGGGUGGGCUGUGAUGCGGUAGGCACGUGGCCGGGUAUACCGGGCGCCCGUUUGGUGUCACGGAACCCUGUUCACAUCGUUUGGGGCUGUGAGCGAAACUCCGGCCGGAUCUCCUCAUGGAUGGAACCCGAAUAGGCGAUAAACCUGGACUAGAGACUUGAGUGUUUAGGUAGGUCGUGGUCUACACCCACGUCGGCUUUCGCUUGAAGUCUGCCGAGCACAUGUCGUGUGCAGACGCUAAGUGGUGGAAACAUGUAUGAAGAAGUACACCCCUGCAGGGUUAAUAUGAUCUAUUCGAAUAGCCGUGUCCGCGGAAAAGGACUUCUGGGUUGCUUAUAUCAGUUCAUAGACAAGUGAAAGUGGAUACCCUAAAAUACGCAAGAUAAGCGUGAGUGCUAUGGAUGGCGUUCUCGUAGGGAGACGAGAGCGGAUCCAUAGUGGUGUAUUGAUAUGGUGAAUAUGUGGACUCGUGUGCGCCACCUCAAAAGAGUCGCUUGCAGUCGUAGUUUAGGAUAGCCAUCGAGUCAAAGCUGGCUUGCUGCAGUUAAACCCCACCAUCCCUUUGUUGAUAAUGAUGCAUAUGUAGAUAGUUCUGAUGUAAGUCUUGCUGGGUACAUUUGUACUCACGUUUGCCUAUUUUAUGUUUUUGCAGAGAGACUUUGGUCUCGCUAGUAGUUCCGCGUGGACUUCGACGUUUAGCUUGUUACCUCAGCUACGAUCUUGUGCCCUCGGCAGGAUCUGAUAGAUAGUCAGGCUUCUCAGCCUUUUUCAUUUAUAGAUGUCUGUACCCAGACAUGAUAGCUUCCGCUUGUGCUUUGAUUUGUAUGCUCUGAUUGUUGGGUCAUGAGACCCAUGUUUGUAAUAUCUCGCUCCUUGGAGCCUAUUGAAUAAAUUACUUGAGUCGUAGAGUCAUGUUGUGAUGCCAUGUUGUAUUUGCACAUAUCGAGCAUAUUGUGUGUAUGUUAUUGAAAUGCUUGGUAUGUGUGGGAUCUGACCAUCUAGUUGUUUAUCUUUAGUAGCCUCUCUUACCGGGAAAUGUCUCCUAGUGUUACCGCUGAGCCAUGGUAGCUUGCUACUGCUCUGGAACACUUAGGCUGGCCGGCAUGUGUCCUUCUUCGUUCCUGUGUCUGUCCCUUCGGGGAAAUGUCACGCUUUGAGUACCGGAGUCCUGUUAGCCCGCUACAGCCCGGUUUACCGGAGUCCUGCUAGCCCAGUGCUACAGCCCGGACCCACUUGUUGAUGACCGACACGUUCGAAGCUGGGUCAUGGAUGUCUGUCCCUGUAAGUCUGUGCCACUUUGGGUUUACGACUAGUCAUGUCAGCCCGGGCUCCUUAUCAUAUGGAUGCUAGCGACACUAUCAUAUACGUGAGCCAAAAGGCGCAAACGGUCCCGGGCAAAGGUAAGGCGACACCCGUGGGGAUACCGUGCGUGAGGCCGCAAAGUGAUAUGAGGUGUUACCGGCUAGAUCGAUGUGACAUCGAGUCGGGGUCCUGACAGCGUUGGUAUCAGAGCUUGACUGCCUGUAGGAUUACCAAGCCAAACUGGUCGAAGUUGAGUCUAGAAAUUCUUAGUUAUAUAAGGGAAUUGAUUGUGGGAUGGAACGUAAGGCUCUUUUUACUCCUUAUACCUCAUGGCCUUCUGAUCUGAGUCAUCAUCUUCUCUUCUACGGGGAUUAAGAACUAGGGUUUCUCUUCUUUCUAUCAGGAUCACGUGUUACUAAUCAGUGGACUUAUAAGAUUGUUGGACUUAAGCCUCGUUUCAGCUCCUAGUACUUCUGUAUGUUAACUGUUGAUCUCGAGACCUUGAUAUUGUGCCUCUGAGUGGCUAUGCCACCAUUUUUGUAGCAUGUCUCCAAUCUUUUGAGCAUUACAGCCGUUAUGCUGUCCGAGUCAUCCCAGGUCUCUAAACAGUCUGAUGCAUUUGCAAAUCCUUUCCUUCCGUCUCCGAUGUCCCUUUUGGUCGGAAUAAGCACACUAAUCGGUAGGUUGAGGUACUUUGUUACCUCGGCGUAGAUGUUGGAGCUGUUAUUAUGACCUUAGGUGUUUAGGAAGUCACCUAGCAAUUUAGCAAUGCUUUUGUAUCCCCAGUGCGAUGAUUCUGGCCAUUAUUUUGAAAGCAUCCCGUGAUGUUGUUAGUUAGUAGGCAUUCUAUUUCUGGGUUUUGAACCCGAGAUUCACUCUACCUACUUCAUGUUGAUAGUAAUUGCUAGUGCCCUUAGGAUAUUAGUAACCUUUGCGAUAGUCCUUGAAGUCCGUGGUAUCUUCUUCUUCCAAAUACCAUGAACUACUUAUGGCAGAAGUUCCUCGUUGAACUGAAAUAUCACAACAGGAUUAUUCUUGAGGAGUUCUCCAUUCAUAAAUCGUGACUCUGCCAGUUCUACCCUUCUGCAUGGGUUAUCCGGAAGAAAUAUGUUGAACUUGGUUCGACAUACUAAUCUAUGCAUCCACAACUCAGAAAAUUAUAUGUUCCUUUGAGUUGUUCUCUUUAGUUACAUUCUGACCCUCGUCUAUCAAUUGAUAGUCAAGAGUAUGUGUGCGUUCGUUUAUCGAUGCCUAUUACUCUUGUGGUCCGUCAAGCCAUUCUAUCGCAGAAUGACUAGGAGAAACAAACUCCAGUACCUCUUCCAUAUCCAGGAUUGGGUCAAAGAAGUUGUGCUCCGCAGAUCAAAUUGCUAAUCCAGCUUUUGUUCUGUUCUACCUUGGAGUAUUACCAUCUUUAUAUCGGGAUUGUUAUAGGAAUUGCACACCAUCCUAUGAACUCUUGGUACAGUGAUACUUUUUGCCAUCAUUAGUCAUUCCUCGGUCUUCUUGUUAAUGCAACCGGAAUACCGACAAAUUAAUUGUGAUGUGUGAAACCAAUACGCCUAGCAACCUCGUUGCUGGGUAGUUAAAGGACAAUAAUUUCAUUCUUAGUGUGUUGGUUAUUGAAUCAUCAUUCUAAGAUUGAUCGUGCUACCUAGUCCAUUCUCCUGGUUCACUCCUCGACCAAUGAGUUAGGAAUUAUUUCAAGUCCUCACUCAUUUGAUCAUAUCGUCUUGCCCUCAAAAGCGAGAUUGUUCUCGAGCUUAGUAACAUACCGGUGGUUCGUGAUUUUUCGAAUAUCUUCUCGAAAGUAUUACCAGGUUGUCACCUGACCGUUAUGUUGAGCUCGUGAUCAAGUUGGUUUCUUGUGAACCACCCUUUCUCCAAGAAUCGGUGUUAGAUAUCCCUGAGCUAGUUGGUUAAGCUAGACAACAACUUGGAGAGUUGGAAGAUAAAAGCUUGCCUGACUUAGUUCGUUCCAAAGGGAUAUUCUUGUGUAGUGUGUGUUGAAGAAAGAUGAUAUCUUCAUCGAUUGGUCCUUGUGAUCAGUUGCUGGACCUAUUGUCUUAUGAAUCCUUUGAUUUGAGUGUGGGCUAUCGUCAAAUCAAAUCAGUACCAACGAUGCUCGUAAUGUUGUCUUAUUCGUGGUUGAUCCCUCGAGCAUACACCAUUACAUCUUUGGUCUGACCAAUGCUAUCACCGUGUUCACUUAACUAUGGAAUACCUUUUAAAAGGAAACCUAGAUGAAUUGUUGUUGAGCCCAUUGGCAACAUCCUUAUCUCCUUCAUGAUGUUGUUGAACAUUAAGCUAGUGUUGGAAACUUUUGAAAGCAUUUGUUCAUGCUAGCUCAUGAAGCAUAUGUUUGGAUAAAGGUAGUGACUUCCUUUAAUUCAUGUGCAUCCGAUGCAAGUUGCCGCCGUGGAUUCGAGAAAGUCAAUGUUGCUUUCUUUGGAAUCAUUCCAAAUCAGUCAUGCACACGUGCGAAGAAUGCUGUGGUUUGAAGACUUGCAACCUUCAAUCUAUAUGUAUCCCUAGCACACCAAGCCACUGAUUGAUUUGUUCAAGGAGAAGGAGUUUCUUCAUAAGAGCUAAUCCGGACUUAUGUAAGGACUUCGAUACCCUCGUUGAUGGUUCCACCUCCUGAACUCGGUAGUGUUUUAUUAUAAGACUACUAUGUGGUCAUGCUUGUCUAGGACAGCGUGUUCACAUGUGUGUAGCAGAACCAGCUCAUGUUUUGGAGCUUGCUAUCGUAGUUCAUCUCCCGAGAAUCCCGCAACGUCAUCUCGUCGAUUUGUGUUGCAAACUUUCAUUUUUCUUCCUAGACUCGAUGAGUCUGGAAUAUCCUGACACCAACCAGAUCUGAAUCUCAGGCAGAUAUGAAGGUUUGGAACAUUUUCCAAGAACUAUAAUAUCGAUCCCUUGGAAACCGGUAAAGUGGAUGUCGUGGCCAACACACCCAGCCGGAAGACCGGUUAUUAUAAUAUCUUGAUUGAGGAAGUUGGCCACCUCCCCAUAAGGAUUUCGUAGGAUUUACCUCCCUAGUUGUUCCUUAUGGAUUCUAUUGCUCCCGAAGUCCGACCAUUUACUUGAUGUUCUAGUUAUCAAACCAUAUCUAUGAAUGGAAUACACUAGCACAUCAAGGAGAACAUUAGAAGCGGAGUGCGAAAUGUCUCUCGGUCGAUCAUCCAGAUUUUAUUUCCUUGGCCUCGCUAAAGUGAAAUCUGAGAAAGUGUUAUCUUUCUUUGCAUCUGCAUCAUCCAUCAUCAUUCAUCAUGGUAGCAAGUUGUGUUGCCAGGAUCCUUGACACGGAUAUUGGUAAAACCUUGAUGAAUGUGGAAAUGCUCAAGUUCUUGAGAGCACGCGCAAGUGCUAGGUUUGAUCGUCGGCAUUAACUGUAUAGCGCUCUCAGUUUCCUCGGUUAUGCUAUAACCAUUCCAAUAGUGGGAUCACUCUCUAUUGUUGGGUUCUUCCCCAGUUACCAGAAUCAUUCCCAGCAUUUGCAUUUUGUUCCCAGCUUGCACCGCCAAUGUGCCAUUCUACCAUGGGUCUCUUCCAUUUCCGGUGAUAAGAAAAUUCAUCCAUUGCGUUGUCUUCAACAAGGUAGUCCACAUCAUCCAAGUCCGAGUAUGCCAUUCUACCGACCCCCUCCAAACGAUCGCUCGAGAAUUGUCUUAGGCUGGUUUAAAGAGUUUCAAUGAUCUUUGAAUCAAAGGUAAUUCUUUUUGCCACUUAAGGGGAUAUUUCUACGAGUCACCUUCCCUAAGGUGCAUCAUUAUGGUAUCAUGGCAACUCAACUUCUCGCUACGUAACAAUCGUUUACCACAUUCUUGAGUCUGGAAUUGUUGUCUACCUAGUGAACCUUUGUCAUCUGCUUCACUCAAAUUCCUAUGGAUGUGUACUUCGUCUCUCAGCUCGAGAGAUGUUGUUAUGUCUCAUUCCGUGGGUUAAUCCUGAGUUGUUCGACCUUCGAGAAGAACAAUUCUUUUAGGGUCUCUCCUUUCCUCUCGUUGUCAUGAUAGUUGGAGUUCUCAAGGCAAGACUUCAAGACAAAGAUGGUGUUCGAAUCAAUGUUCCUAUGAAGUGCACCCUGGAUCGUGAAGAUUGUACUAGUUGCGUUCCCCCUUCACCUUACCCUACGCUUGAAUAUCGAGACGAGAUUCUUGUUUAGUGGGGGUGAGUUGUCACAUCCCUAGCUUCUGGUAUGCACUGGGCUAGACCUCAUGUGUGCAUCAUGUUUAAAUUCUAAAAAUUUGAACCGAGGGAAUUUUGGAAGCCUCAAAAUUCUUAAUUAAAAGAAGGGCAAGCACCCUUUAAAUUGCAUUCUGUGAAUCCAAAAUGCCCUAAAAAUAGUCUUGUGAAUUUUGGCAAGAGUUAUAUAUCAAACCAAAAUUCUGGAAUAUUUUUAAGGAAUUAUUUGGUCUCUGAAUUUAAAUCAAUAAUCUAUUUGAAUUUGGGGAUAUAUUCAUAAUAUAUAAUGAAUAUAUUUUCAAAUGCUUUGAAAUGUUUUAUGUACUUUUGGAAUAGUCCAGAGAGGUAACAUAAAAUAUUUCAGAAUGUUCUGGCACUGUAUGAAAUUAUUUUGAAUUUGAAAACAGUGGCAAAAUAAAAUAAAAAGGGAAACAGAACAAAAAAAUAAUAAAUAAAAAGAGAGAAGGAACUACCUGGCGCUCACCUGUGCUGGCCCAGCNNNNNNNNNNNNNNNNNNNNNNNNNNNNNNNNNNNNNNNNNNNNNNNNNNNNNNNNNNNNNNNNNNNNNNNNNNNNNNNNNNNNNNNNNNNNNNNNNNNNNNNNNNNNNNNNNNNNNNNNNNNNNNNNNNNNNNNNNNNNNNNNNNNNNNNNNNNNNNNNNNNNNNNNNNNNNNNNNNNNNNNNNNNNNNNNNNNNNNNNNNNNNNNNNNNNNNNNNNNNNNNNNNNNNNNNNNNNNNNNNNNNNNNNNNNNNNNNNNNNNNNNNNNNNNNNNNNNNNNNNNNNNNNNNNNNNNNNNNNNNNNNNNNNNNNNNNNNNNNNNNNNNNNNNNNNNNNNNNNNNNNNNNNNNNNNNNNNNNNNNNNNNNNNNNNNNNNNNNNNNNNNNNNNNNNNNNNNNNNNNNNNNNNNNNNNNNNNNNNNNNNNNNNNNNNNNNNNNNNNNNNNNNNNNNNNNNNNNNNNNNNNNNNNNNNNNNNNNNNNNNNNNNNNNNNNNNNNNNNNNNNNNNNNNNNNNNNNNNNNNNNNNNNNNNNNNNNNNNNNNNNNNNNNNNNNNNNNNNNNNNNNNNNNNNNNNNNUAGGCAGAGGCGAGGCGUGGCGCGCGCCCGAAGAGCUCCGGCCACCUCCUGCUUCGCCGUGGCAGCCUCCCCGACCCCCUCGCGACGCCACGGAGACGCCUCGACCCCCUCGACCGCCUCUCUCUUCCCCUGGACCCCGUUCCCUCCUCUGCUUCCCUCCCGCGCACACCACCGAGCGGAACUCGCCGUCAUCGUCGCCGUACCCAUGGCCACCGCCCACCCCUAGCCUCGCCGACGCCCCAGGAAGCUCCGCCGGUCCUCCCUCUGCCUCCCCACCGAUCCACAGCCCUCCGGAAGCCUUGCAUCGCCGCCAUCGCCGUCGUCUUCUACCUCGGACCCGCCGGCCAUCUUCGUCAAAUUCGCAGGCUCCGGACCGUCUCCGACCUCGCCGAGCGUUCCUCGUCAUCUCCGUGAGUCCCUGCUACGUUUCCCCUCUCUCCCCGUUGGUUUCCCGUGCAGUAGCCAUGCUAGCCACCGUACCGAGCGCCGCCGUCCGCCAUGGACGCCGGGCAUGGCACUGACGUGCUGUUGCGGCCAGUCCGACGGGCCUAGCGUGCUCCUAGCUGCCCCAGGAGUCCGCAUAGCCCCUCAGCCAGCCCCCUAGCGCUCCGUAACCUCGCUCCGGCCAAACCCGAGCUCCGGCAGCCGCCGCGGCCUCCACUCCGGCGAGCUCCGGCCACCCCGCGCCUCCCGCAUGCCUCCUUUGGAUGCGCGCAAGCAAGGGCAACCCUCUGGUGCCCUUGGCUUGGCCCAAAACCGCUCGCAGCGCCACUCCGGCGAGCUCCCGCCGCAGUUUUGGUCGUCGCCGGCCGAACUCCGGCGACUGCCGACGUGGCACGCCUAAUUAGCACUAAUGACCCUGUUAAACUAACCCCGUGGCACUGACAGUGGGCCCCGUAGCGGGUCAAAGCCCGGGUCAACGCGGGAUUAGCCCCUGUGUCACUGACGUGUGGACCCCACACGUCAGGUUUGACCUGGACCGCCCGUUGACCUGCUGAGGUCGGCAUGAGGUCAUGCUGACGCCAUAAUUCAUUUUCUGGAAUUAUUUAAUUCUAAAUAUUCAGGAAAUUCCAGAAAAUGCCUAAAACUUCUAAAAUUCAUAGAAAUUCAACCGUAACUCCAAAUUAAAUAAAUUAUAUAUGAAAAAUUAUCAGAAAAAUUCAAGGAAUCCAUCUGUACCAUUUUCAUGCAUGUUAGAACAACUUAUCACUACUGUUUAGGACAAAUGAAGUAAAUGGCAUUUAAAUAAUCACAUAUGGAGUUUGAAUUUGAACCUAGGAUUCAAACCAACUCCAUUUAACUUGUUGCUAGAUGCAUUAGCUCAAAACACCAGCAUGUUGCCAUGUCAUAGCAUGCAUCAUAUUGUGCAUUGCAUUGAUUGUGUUUCCUUCUGUUUGCCGGUGUUGUUCCCCCUCGAUAGACGUUGUAUCGAUGAUGUGAUCGUUGACACUGAUGGAGACUCAAUGUUAUCUUCAGAAGUGCCAGGCAAGCAAAACCCCCUUGCUCAUUCCGAUACAAUCCCACUCUCUCGCUCCUGCUCUCUUUUACUGCAUUAGGACAACAACGACAUAUUUGUUACUUGCUGCGGUAGCUGAACCCCUUUAUCCUUUGCAUGACCUGUCAUUGCCACAGUAAAUAGAUGAAACCCACUAGCAUGAGUAGGAGUUGUUUGAGCCCUGAUGUGCCUACUCAUUCAUGCUUGUUUGUCAUGCCUGCUACUGCUUAGAGUUGAGUCAGGUCUGAUUCAUCGGGGAUGAAUCAGAGGCGUGUGAACAUGUCCUACUGUGUGUGAGCUAAGUGUGUGAACACGAUUUGGUAAAGGUAGCGGUGAGAGGCCAUGUAGGAGUACAUGGUGGGUUGUCUCAUUGCAGCCGUCCUCAGGAACUGAGUUCUGUGUUUGUGAUCCAUGAUUCAGUUACUACCAUACAUUGGGCCCUGAAAUAUGACCCCGCUCGACUUCUUAAUCACCCUAGUCCUCUGUCCAGGAGUUGCAAGUAGUUUCUGGUGUUUGUAGUAUGCUGGAGGCCGUGGACAGUGCUGACCGUAGGGGUGGGCUGUGAUGCGGUAGGCACGUGGCCGGGUAUACCGGGCGCCCGUUUGGUGUCACGGAACCCUGUUCACAUCGUUUGGGGCUGUGAGCGAAACUCCGGCCGGAUCUCCUCAUGGAUGGAACCCGAAUAGGCGAUAAACCUGGACUAGAGACUUGAGUGUUUAGGUAGGUCGUGGUCUACACCCACGUCGGCUUUCGCUUGAAGUCUGCCGAGCACAUGUCGUGUGCAGACGCUAAGUGGUGGAAACAUGUAUGAAGAAGUACACCCCUGCAGGGUUAAUAUGAUCUAUUCGAAUAGCCGUGUCCGCGGAAAAGGACUUCUGGGUUGCUUAUAUCAGUUCAUAGACAAGUGAAAGUGGAUACCCUAAAAUACGCAAGAUAAGCGUGAGUGCUAUGGAUGGCGUUCUCGUAGGGAGACGAGAGCGGAUCCAUAGUGGUGUAUUGAUAUGGUGAAUAUGUGGACUCGUGUGCGCCACCUCAAAAGAGUCGCUUGCAGUCGUAGUUUAGGAUAGCCAUCGAGUCAAAGCUGGCUUGCUGCAGUUAAACCCCACCAUCCCUUUGUUGAUAAUGAUGCAUAUGUAGAUAGUUCUGAUGUAAGUCUUGCUGGGUACAUUUGUACUCACGUUUGCCUAUUUUAUGUUUUUGCAGAGAGACUUUGGUCUCGCUAGUAGUUCCGCGUGGACUUCGACGUUUAGCUUGUUACCUCAGCUACGAUCUUGUGCCCUCGGCAGGAUCUGAUAGAUAGUCAGGCUUCUCAGCCUUUUUCAUUUAUAGAUGUCUGUACCCAGACAUGAUAGCUUCCGCUUGUGCUUUGAUUUGUAUGCUCUGAUUGUUGGGUCAUGAGACCCAUGUUUGUAAUAUCUCGCUCCUUGGAGCCUAUUGAAUAAAUUACUUGAGUCGUAGAGUCAUGUUGUGAUGCCAUGUUGUAUUUGCACAUAUCGAGCAUAUUGUGUGUAUGUUAUUGAAAUGCUUGGUAUGUGUGGGAUCUGACCAUCUAGUUGUUUAUCUUUAGUAGCCUCUCUUACCGGGAAAUGUCUCCUAGUGUUACCGCUGAGCCAUGGUAGCUUGCUACUGCUCUGGAACACUUAGGCUGGCCGGCAUGUGUCCUUCUUCGUUCCUGUGUCUGUCCCUUCGGGGAAAUGUCACGCUUUGAGUACCAGAGUCCUGUUAGCCCGCUACAGCCCGGUUUACCGGAGUCCUGCUAGCCCAGUGCUACAGCCCGGACCCACUUGCUGAUGACCGACACGUUCGAAGCUGGGUGAUGGAUGUCUGUCCCUGUAAGUCUGUGCCACUUUGGGUUUACGACUAGUCAUGUCAGCCCGGGCUCCUUAUCAUAUGGAUGCUAGCGACACUAUCAUAUACGUGAGCCAAAAGGCGCAAACGGUCCCAGGCAAAGGUAAGGCGACACCCGUGGGGAUACCGUGUGUGAGGCCGCAAAGUGAUAUGAGGUGUUACCGGCUAGAUCGAUGUGACAUCGAGUCGGGGUCCUGACAACUUAUUGCUCGAGUAUCGAUUACAAGCGAGCGAAAUCUCUAGACCUAGUACCUAAUUGAUUGUAACCUGAUCUAUCUGCCUCAGGGGCUCGCCUUUACAUAUAGGUGGUGGCCUUGGGCUUACAAGAGUCCGGGUUUGUAUUAGACUCGUGACUGAAUACAUCUCUAACUCGCCCAGGAAAGGAAACCUAAGGCAGUUCAUAUUCCUGGCUCAUGAGUCUCCGUCUUCAAACUGGGGUUAUAUCCCCAACAAUCACCAUCGACAAUUGGGUCCAGGACUAGUGCGGCCGAUCCAGAGUGCCUGAUGCUGGUAAAAAUGGUCGUGUUUAUCGAAAGUGAUCGUAUGAGCCGACCAUGGGUUGGACUUCAGGGUAACUGGCUCUAGCGCAUAGACGUCCUGGAGCGCUCGUUUCCUCUCCCUUUUAGGUAUGUGGGUGUUGUAGAUCAUGUUGACCUCAGUCACCUCAUUAGGAAAGUUCUUCUGGCCUCCAUUAUUAGGCCCCCAAGGUUCAUCCUCUUCGUCUUUGCGGCGUUGGGGUUUAUCCAGCCCCUCGGUCCUAAUUUUGCUUGCUUGGUUGAAGACCCAACAAUUCGUAUUGGUGUGCAUUGCAGGCUUGGCUGAUGUGACACGGAUUUGGCACGGCCUGUCAAGGAUUUUGUCCAACUGGAUGGGUCUAUUCUUGUUCCCUUUAAAGGCCUUGCCUUCUACCCCGAUCUAGGUCCGGUGAACCCUGCGUUGACUGCGGCAUCCUCUAUGUUGCAGCCGCCCGUUCUUAUGCUUGUGUUUGUUUUUGUUACGCCGAGGCUUCCCGUUGGCGUCGCGCAUAUCCGAGGUGCACGCCUCAUCAUUAUGGUUGUUAUGGGCUAGCCAGCUAUCUUCUCCGGCGCAAAAGCGGGUCAUAAGAGCGGUGAGGUUAGCCAUAGUUCUCGGCCUGCCUUGGCUGAGCUGGUGGGUCAGCCAAUCGUUGCGUUUGUUGUUUCUGAAUGCUGCAAUUUCCUUGGUGCCAAAACAAUCGAUGAUCCGGUUCUUCUUAGUAAGGAACCAUUCCAGAAUUUCCGACCUGACUCACCAGACUAUUGAAUAACGCGGCUGAGGUCAUCGACAUCCGUGGCCGGACAUAAGUGCCCUGAAAUUUUGCUCUAAAGGCGUCCUCAAGGGCUCCCCAACUUCCAAUAGAUUAAGGGGGAGGCUAUUCAGCCAAUGCCUUGCCGGCCCCUUUAGCUUGAGCGGCAAGUACUUGAUGGUGUGGAGGUCGUCUCCAUUUGCCAUGUGGAUGUGAAGUAGGAAGUCUUCAAUCCAUGCUGAUGGGUCCAUCGUUCCAUCAUAAGAUUGUAUAUUGAUGGGUUUAAACCCUUCUAGGGACUGAUGUUCCAUUACCCUGUCUGUAAAACAGAUCGGGUGGGCUGGACUUCGGGACCGAACAGUACCACGUAGGGGCUCAGGGGAGAGCCUUGUGUAUGUAUGAAUCCAGGCGCGGCCGUUCCUGUCUAGCCAGGCUUCGUAAUCGUCCAUCCUAGCUAGCACGCAUUCUCGUGUCCCAUAGAUGGGCCAAGGAGGCGCUCGGUUUGCCUCAAUGUGGCAUCUAGCAUCAUGCAGAUCUAGGUAGUCCACGGAGUCCCUGCCAUCAUGAUGAGGGGGUGGUCAGGUAUUUGUAUUGUCCCGUACCAGUGUGUCUCGACCUCUAGGGGGUCAAUCCGAUGUCUUUGUGGACACUUAAUCUCCGAACUCCAGCAGUAAACAUCGGCGAGGGUAUGAUUUAUGUGCACUGUGACGUCGGUUUUUGAGAUCUUGCUCGGCCGAAAGGACUUUGACCCACUUCUCGUUCUGUGCAUCAGCAUUAGCUUGCAGCUUUUGCUGCUUGCGCUUCAUACUACGGGCGGUGGCAAGAAGGCACCGCCGGAAGUGUUCCUAUUCGAAAGGGUCCUCGAGGACGAUGCUGAGGCUCUCAUUCUCUUCGGACUUUGGCAUGUAGUUGUCUCCGGCUCCCUCAAAGAGGUCAUCGGGAUCAGGGUUCUCGGGAUUAUCCUCAUGCCCGUUGUUUCGUGCUGGGGAGGCUUGAAAGUCCCCACGAAGGUUAUUGUUAUUGCCAGUUGCUGCGUCACCGUUUUCGGCAGAGGCAUUAUUGCCGCUGGGCUCUUCGUUGGCACCCCUUCUAUGCUUAGGCCCACAUCAUGGGAGGGGCGUUGCGGCUAUCGACCAUGUAUAUGUCAUAAAUAGACGUUGUGGUCCACUUGCCAGUCUUUACUAGUGGCGAAGUGUUGUCCGCGGGGCCAUCCGAAUUUUCCAUAUCCGAGGCCUCGCCGUAGUCAAGCAUGUCGGUAAUGUCAUUGAUAGUUGCGACUAGGUGGGUGGUGGGUGGGAUGUAAAUUUCCCUAUCAUCGGCUUUAAAGCCGAUCUUGUCAUAGACCAAGGUCUUGUCAUCUGAGAUGGAUAUGCGCUGGAUCCAAUCGAGCAUGUCGUUUAGGUGUGAUAGAUCUUCGGAAUCCAUAGCCUAGCCGUACACAACAUUGAUCUAAAGGAUGUCUGGUAUAUAGCUUGGCGAUUCUAUGAUAUAUAUGGAGGGGAUCCGAGGCUGACUCUGGAUCCCGUGCGAGGGUCGGCUCUAGAUACGACGUAGUAGCACAAACAAGGGUCGUACCAAAGUCCAGAACAAGAGUUGGGGUGAGAUCGCCCGAGGUCAUUUGCGUUGGGAUCCUUGGCCGCCAAUGGCGCCGAGGAGUCUGAUCUGAUGUCUUCAGGCCGGUGUUGGAAUCAGGGCUCCGGGGACCCAAGGAAGGUUCGAACUCUAGGUUUGCUCGAAGAACUCCACUAGGCUCUUUCUCCUACCCACUGCCUCACGGUGACGCUCCGGCGUACUCGAGCAUAAAGGAAGAACAUGAACAUCACGAUUUACCCAGGUUCGGGCCACCUUGUAGUGUAAGACCCUACUCCUGCUUGGUUUGGAUUGCCUCGCGAGGGAGGAUGAGUAUGAGAGUACAAGGAUGAACUGUCUCAGGAGGCCUCAAGACUCGACCUCGGGGAUCCCAGGGUUCGAUCUCCUCUACGGUGAGGGAUAGCCUAUCCUUGGUCCUCUUCCCCCGAAAACUCUAGGUGGGAAGGGAUACCAUAACCACCAAUUUUGAAGGGGGACAGGAGUACAACUUAUCCUAACAAAAGAUGGCUUCACCUGCAAAAGUUUUAGUCCAUGAUGUGCAGGUGGGCUUGAUGAUGACCUUCAUCCAGACGAGGCCACUGUCCUAGUCUUCUUGCACCAGAAUGGCAACCUUUGGGGAUUGUUUCGGGAACCCACGCGCUGUCGUUGUUCCAUUAGCACUAAGAAGAAAGUGUCCUUAUCCGUGCCCGCUGGCGGCCUUCUGGCUCCGCUCGUCGUGGCUCGUUUCACCCACGUGCAUCGCGAGGCGGGGUGGCGAGCCUAGAGAUAUCCGCCCCAUGAGGGGCCUCAGGAGGCAGCCUCGGGAGACCGCCCCGCAUGAUGCCCUCUAGAGCUCUUGAUGACCCUUGCUAAUGCUCGCCUCAUGGGGCGGGGGCCUUCGUGAGGGUCUUGAUCAUGAAGUCUUGAAGCCGGGCCACACUAGGCCUUAUGAUGACGCCACACGAUGGGCUGCAAGCAGAUGGCCCUGGGUACCCCCAGUCCCAAGGGCCCAACAGUAGCCCUCGGGCCUGCAGUGCGCAUGACUCCACUUGCGGUGAAGGGAAAGAGAGGGGCAGAAGCAACAUGGGCCCCAACCUCCUGCGGGCCAGGCUUGACGCCUGGCAUGCGCAAGGGCACGGGACGCCCCCACUUCCCCAUAAUACCUCGGCAACUACCCUGGCUGACAUAAAGCCUGGUAGAUGCCACGGGGCCAUCAUUGCUUCCUUCUCCUGCUUGCACCCCUCUUGCCGUGCCCCCCUUUCUCUCGCGUGAGGUUCGUCCAGAUCCAAUCUCAGGCGUGGCUCCUUCCUCAUCUCGCUCGCAGCCGCUACUUCCGAUAACGUCGGGCAGCAAGAAAGCAAAGUCUACAGCUCUCACGCAAGCUCAUCUUCCAUGGGGCCGGUGAUCUGGCCCCCCUCAAUCGUCAAGGACGAGGACCUAGGCCUGGUGCUCCCACUGAUAGCCGACGAGGGAAACAAAGGGUGGGAAACCAAGAUCUGGCCAGGCUCUCAUGCGUGGAGUGACCUGGCGUACUCCGUGUACCCCUUCUUCCUCCACAACAUCUAUGCCGGGUUGGUCCCACUGAUACGUCCAUUUUGCAUCAUGUUUUCUUACAGUUAUUUACAAUGUUUUUAUGCUUAAUAGUGCUUUCUGGAGUAAUCUAAUGCCUUUUCUCUCAUAAGGCAAGGUUAACACAAAGAGGGAGACUAUCGGCGGCUGGAAUUCUGGACCUGAAAAAGCUAUGUCAGAUAUACCUAUUAUGCACAUCUCCAAAUGAGCGAGAAAUUUACGGAGAUUUAUUUUGGAAAAUAUAAAAAAUACUGGAGCAAAUAACUACGGGAGUGGGGCCACCUGGUGACCGCAAGACACCAAGGAACGCCAGGCCCCCCAGGCGCGCUAUGGGGGGUUGUGGCCAGCCCAGCCCACCUCCGGUGCCCAUCUUCUGGUACUUAAGGUCUUCUUACUUAGAAAAAAUAAGGAGAGGACUUUCGAGAUGGAGCGUCGCCAUCUCGAGGUGGAACUUGGGCAGGAACACUUUUGCCCUCCGGCGGAGCAAUUCCGCUGGCGGAACUUCCCUCCCGAAGGGGGAAUCGAAGCCAUCGUCAUCACCAACAAACCUCUCAUCUUUGGGAGUCCAAUAUUCAUCAACAUCUUCAACAAAACCAUCUCCUCUCAAAUCCAAGUUCAUUCUUGUGUUCAAUCUUUGUACCAGAACCUCAGAUUGGUACCUGUGGGUUACUAGUAGUGUCGGUAACAAACCCUAGGUCCAUUGCCUAGACUAUGCACAGGCUCAAGAGACAAGAUUACAACACCAAGAUCAGAGCAAGCACGAAGGGAUCAGCUCUUUGGGGAAUCAGGGGGCUGGUCGAAGCAGAAAAGGAAGGCCAAGUUGAUACCGAGGGGCAAGAUAUUGCUAAGGAAAGAGCCUCCCUUGCCGGGCAGGCGAGCCCGACAAGGUUGGGUUUUGCCCCGGAAGUAAAUCUCCAAACCGUCCUGACAGGCUUGCCGGGGCUUGCGGAGGCGAGCCACGCCACCGCUCCACCUCACAAGCAGCGCAAGUCAUCAAUCAGUGCGGAGUCAAGCCCCAAAGUGACUAACUGGCUGCUUUGAGCCACAUGGCAGCCACUUUCUAUAGGAAAGACCUCCAUAUGCACUACAAAACAAAUACACUUCCGUGAUAAUACGUGUUUGUCACAGUAGGUCGCGUUUUUGUCAUGCAUGUACAACCAUGAAGAUUUUAUGACAGAAUCAAGAUAGUCAUACCUGUACUGUCAUAGAAGUGUUCCAUGACAUUAUGAAAAUUAUCAUCACGGAAGUGUCCACUUCUAUGACGAUAAAUCGCACGUCACAGAAGUGCUUUCGUCAAGGGUGACCGACACGUGGCAUCCACCGUAACGGAACACCGUUAAGCUAUCGGGUCGGAUUUUGGAUCCAAUAACCCGUUAACAGCCCCGACCAAUGGGGAUUUUCCACGUGUAAAAUCAUCAUUGGCUGGAGGAAACACGUGUCGGCUCAUCAUUUGGACAGAUGUCAUCCACUCAUUGGACGGAAGGCGCCUAUGAUACGUCGACACGUGGCACGGCCCAACAGAGGCCCAUUCCUGUGAAAAGGUCGGCCCGUUUGACUUGGUCAAAAGGUGGCGGGCCGGCCCAUGGAAAGCCCGUUAACGUCCUGUUCGCAUAUAGCCCAUUUACAGCCCGCUAAACCAAGGCCCGUUACACCCUAUCCGAACUAGGCCCAAUAGCGUCAUUUAGGCCAUCCAAUAUGAUUCCAGCCCAUUUUCACUUCUGGCGCAUGUAUGGCCCAUGACGUCUUUCAGACCAUAUGAGGCCCUAUGUAGCUCUUGGCCUAUUAACGGCCCCUGGUGAAACUGGCCCGUAAUGAAUAGUGUAUCACCUUACACCCAUUAACGCCCCAUGGUGAAACUGGCCCGUAAUGAACAGUGUAUCACUUUAUACCCUUUAACGGCCCGUUAUUCCGUUGGGCCGUUUCCAGCCCAUGUUAUCUUUCGGCCUUCUCAGAGCCUUUAUUCUUGGGCUCAUUUCCUGCAUUCAUUUACUUAUGUCCCGUUACCGUCAUUUUCUGCUUGUGGGCCAAAUUCAGCCCGUGGUUACAGUCGGCCCGUUUGUGGUCUGUUAAUACAUUGGGCCGUUUUCAUAGCGUCAUCAAAUACGGCCAAUUAACGACGGCACUUUAUGGUCGGCCCAUGAACGGACGAUUCCAACUCUAGCCCGUUUACGGCCAUAAUGCGGUCUGUUUGGCCCAUUGAGGGAGUCCUGGACUAGGGGGUGUCCGAAUAGCCGAACUAUCAUCAUUGGUCGGACUCCAAGACUAUGAAGAUACAAGAUUGAAGACUUCGUCCCGUGUCCAGAUGGGACUUUCCUUGGCGUGGAAGGCAAGCUUGGCAAUACGGAUAUGUAGAUCUCCUACCAUUGUGACCGACUCUGUGUAACCCUAGCCCUCUCCGGUGUCUAUAUAAACCAGAGGGUUUUAGUCCAUAGGACGAACAACAAUCAUACCAUAGGCUAGCUUCUAGGGUUUAGCUUCCUUGAUCUUGUGGUAGAUUUACUCUUGUACUACCCAUAUCAUCAAUAUCAAUCAAGCAGGAGUAGGGUUUUACCUCCAUCGAGAGGGCCCGAACCUGGGUAAAAACAUCGUGUCCCUUGUCUCCUGUUAUCAUCUGCCUAGACGCACAGUUCGGGACCCCCUACCCGAGAUCCGCCGGUUUUGACACCGACAUUGGUGCUUUCAUUGAGAGUUCCUCUGUGCCGUCACAAUCAGGAAGGAUGCCUCUUCCCGUCUUUAAAGACGGUACCAUUGCCAAGGGAGCUUCGGCCACCGGCCAAACUAUCCGGCUAGGUGGUUUUCUUAUGACCGCCUGUUCGGCCGCCGCUCCGACAAUGACCUCUCGGGUCAUCAAAAGCGAUCUUCACGUCAACUCGGAAUUCGCCGAGCAGCUGGAUCCGAUGGAGCUCUCUUCCGUAAAAGAGCUCUUGGAUCGCAUCGCCGCCCUGGGAGUCGCUACAGACUACGAUCAGAUUGGGCUUAAAACCGAUCUGAGAGAGAUUAACUCUCCCCAGGCUACCCACCACGUUGCGGUGGUAGAGGAACAACGCGGCGACUCUUCUUCUAUAUUAAAGACCAGUUAUGUCCGGAUUCCUAAUCCCUCCAUGCCGGAUUCCCGCGGAGGGACGAACGUCAAUCAAGUACUGAACCUAAAGUCAGGCAGUGGACCAGAUUCGUUGGAGACCAUCCAGCAAUCCAAGCUUCCAAAUUCGGAAACUUUUCGGCCCUUGAGCCUCAAAUUGGGCGGGCUUCUAGACUUAAUUCCACCCGCCCACCCAAACAUAAGCGAUCUAUCUCAAAUCCGACAAGAGCCCACUGAAACAGUACAUCAUUACUGGGCCAGAUUCCUCCUGGUUAUGGACAGGAUAAAGGACUGCCGUGAGGAAAGCGCAAUCUCAAUUUUCUGCAACAAUUGCACGGACAAGGGAAUCAUGAACGCCAUAAGUCGUCGCGAAAUUACAGGCUUCGCCGACCUGGCGUCCAUAGUACCAAAGUACUGUGCAAUGGAGAGUGCCUGUAAAACCGAAACUAAGUUUUGGGACAAUCCGGCUCCGAACACAACCCUAGUCCGAAACAAAAGGGUGCAUCAUGCUCAGGCACCCAGGAUAAAAACCAAAAAGCAAAAACCCCCUAAAGGGCACGGAACCGUACUGGAGGGAUGGCUCAGCGGACCCUGUAAAAUCCACAGUACAGAGGGCGCCACUCCAACACAUAGCCUUCGAGCAUGUUGGAUACUACGGUAGGUGGCCAAAAGUGGCGAAGAGCUCCUAGCCCCGGAGAACCAGCCCAACAGUACCAGUACGGUAUUAACAGUCUUCGAGACUUUCGCAUCAAACAAUAUGCGGAAACGAACACUCCAUAGCCUUGCCGAAGUCUACCAAGUAGCAACAAUAAAUCCAUGGAGCGACACGGCUAUCACCUUCAACGCCAGCGACGAACCUAAAUUCCGAACAGCCCGAGCACCAGCCGCAUUGGUCCUUAGUCCAAUAGUGGACGUCUUUCGUCUUACCAAGGUACUCAUGGAUGGCGGCAGCGGAUUAAACCUCAUCUAUGAGGAAACCCUUCGAAAAAUGGAAAUAGACUGGAGCCGCAUUGAGCGAAGCAGCACAACCUUUAGAGGAAUAAUCCCUAGUCGGGAAGCACGUUGCACAGGAAAAAUUACACUAGAUGUGGUGUUCGGCUCGCCGGACAAUUACAGGUCCGAGGAGGUCACGUUCCAAGUGGCCCCGUUCAGCAGCGGAUAUCAUGCUUUAUUAGGGUGAGAGGCAUUCACAAUUUUUCAAGCUAUACCCCAUUACGGGUACAUGAAGCUUAAAAUGCUCGGGCCCAAUGGAAUCAUCACUCUUGUCAGUGAUCCGGACAUAGCACUCCGCGCUGAAAAUAAGACAGCCCCACUAGCCCUAGAGGCACUAUCCGAAGCCCUAGCGGCAGAGGAACUCACUGCGCUGCGCUCCACGGUGAACAGGGACGAUGUGAUACUCGAUAAGAGAUCCAAGUCCACCUCUUUUAAACCAGCAGACGAAAUAGUCAAAUUCCAAGUCCAUCCAACGGACCCCACAAAGACGGCCUCCCUUGGGGCACAAUUAAACCCUGAUGUAGACGCCGCACUAUGAGAAUUCCUUCGGGAAAAUUGGGACAUUUUUGCCUGGCACCCUUCAGAUAUGCCAGGAAUCCCACGCAGGUUGGCAGGACACAGCCUAAACAUCCUAAAAGGAUUCAAGCCAGUCAAAUAGGCUCUUCGGUGAUUUUCCGAACCCAAAAGACAGGCAAUGGGAGAGGAGCUAGCCAAACUAUUAGAAGCCGGAUUCAUCAGAGACAUAAAACAUCCGGACUGGCUAGCGAACUUGGUAAUGGUACCAAAAAAGGACAAAUCCUGGCGCCUGUGUGUCGAUUUUAAAGACCGUAACAAGGCCUGUCCAAAGGAUCCUUUCCCCCUUCCCUGCAUCGAUCAAAUCAUCGAUGCUACCUGUAACGCCCUCGAUGCGGCUAUAUCUCCCACGUGUCGAAGCACGACUUAGAGGCAUAACCGCAUUGAAAGCAAUGUCGCAAGUGAGGUAAUCUUCGCACAAUCCAUGUAAUACAUAAGGGAAAAGAUACAUAGUCGGCUUACAGUCGCCACUUCACACAAUACAUAAAUAAACAUCCAUCAUUCAGUUUACAAUCAAGGUCCGACUACGGAACCAAAAUAAAAGAAGACUACCCCAAAUGCAACACAGAUCCCCGAUCGCCCCAACUGGGCUCCACUACUAAUCGUCUGGAAAUGAAACAUAGUAACGACCAAGGGCCUCAUCAAAUUCCCACUUCAGCUCAGUUGCGCCCUCUACGCUGGUAUCAUCGGUACCU